rnacentral:rRNA from 1 species
GAUGAACGCUGGCGGCGUGCCUAAUACAUGCAAGUCGAGCGAACAGACGAGGAGCUUGCUCCUCUGACGUUAGCGGCGGACGGGUGAGUAACACGUGGAUAACCUACCUAUAAGACUGGGAUAACUUCGGGAAACCGGAGCUAAUACCGGAUAAUAUAUUGAACCGCAUGGUUCAAUAGUGAAAGACGGUUUUGCUGUCACUUAUAGAUGGAUCCGCGCCGCAUUAGCUAGUUGGUAAGGUAACGGCUUACCAAGGCAACGAUGCGUAGCCGACCUGAGAGGGUGAUCGGCCACACUGGAACUGAGACACGGUCCAGACUCCUACGGGAGGCAGCAGUAGGGAAUCUUCCGCAAAGGGCGAAAGCUUGACGGAGCAACGCCGCGUGAGUGAUGAAGGUCUUCGGAUCGUAAAACUCUGUUAUUAGGGAAGAAUAAAUGUGUAAGUAACUAUGCACGUCUUGACGGUACCUAAUCAGAAAGCCACGGCUAACUACGUG